rnacentral:misc_RNA from 1 species
ACUUCAAGCUAUCAGUAUUUUUAUGCACAGAAUUCAAAGAUUUAUUUGUACGGUAGGUAUUAAUACGAACUAUCAUUCACAGUCCACUGCCCUGACCUUGGAUUCUGUCAGUGGAAGAAACAUGCAUCCUUGAUUGAUUCAGAGACCAAAAGUCAACUGACUCUUGUUUGUAUAGCAUGGAGCUAAAAAUCAUAAUUCAUCUUUCAUCUUUGUACAUUGGAGAUCUUCUUGCUUUAUCAUUACAUUUAACAGUUUAUCAAUUACAUUUAACGUUUGAUGUAAUGUAUGACUGAUUGCACAUACUUCCAUUCAAGGCCGUACCCAGAAAAAACAGCAAAUUGAUUUUAGUGGAAAUUUCACAUUGAAAACACCAGUAUAGCAAUAAUAAUCAUUAUUUGAUAACCGUAACUGUAAGGUUUGACUAAUGAAGAAUGAAAGUGAAGUAGGUGGACUUCUUACAUAAACUUGGAGGAGGGAGUGUGGAGGACGCUGCUCGUCUGGCUGACAACAAAUGAAGCUGCCACCAACUUCAGCUGGGAAGGCGGGAAAGGGAAGAAGUCCCUAAACAGCCUUCUGAUGAACGAAAUCCUGGAGAAAGUUGUUGCUGUGUCUCUGGAUGGAGAUUUCACGAGCAAGCUGUUUGAAACCAGGGUGAAGGAGUGGCUACGGCAGCCUGGACCAGAAUGUAAUUUACUAAAAACUUCAAAAAUAAUAGAAUUGACUAAAAUUUAUUUGUCACGUUUUAUGAGAUUGUAGUGGAAUAAAAAUGUAUUUUCAAGUUGUA